rnacentral:rRNA from 1 species
GACGAACGCUGGCGGCGUGCCUAAUACAUGCAAGUCGAGCGAAUCAAUAGGAGCUUGCUCCUGUUGGUUAGCGGCGGACGGGUGAGUAACACGUGGGCAACCUGCCUGUAAGACUGGGAUAACACCGGGAAACCGGUGCUAAUACCGGAUAAUCCUUUUCCUCUCAUGAGGAAAAGCUGAAAGUCGGUUUCGGCUGACACUUACAGAUGGGCCCGCGGCGCAUUAGCUAGUUGGUGAGGUAACGGCUCACCAAGGCGACGAUGCGUAGCCGACCGGAGAGGGUGAUCGGCCACACUGGGACUGAGACACGGCACAGACUCCUACGGGAGGCAGCAGUAGGGAAUCUGCCACAAUGGACGAAAGUCUGAUGGAGCAACGCCGCGUGAGCGAUGAAGGCCUUCGGGUCGUAAAGCUCUGUUGUUAGGGAAGAACAAGUACCGGAGUAACUGCCGGUACCUUGACGGUACCUAACCAGAAAGCCACGGCUAACUACGUGCCAGCCGCCGCAGUAACAC